rnacentral:rRNA from 1 species
CUAUACAUGCAGUCGAACGCUUCUUUUUCCACCGGAGCUUGCAUCCACCGGAAAAAGAGGAGUGGCGAACGGGUGAGUAACACGUGGGUAACCUGCCCAUCAGAAGGGGAUAACACUUGGAAACAGGUGCUAAUACCGUAUAACAAUCGAAACCGCAUGGUUUUGAUUUGAAAGGCGCUUUCGGGUGUCGCUGAUGGAUGGACCCGCGGUGCAUUAGCUAGUUGGUGAGGUAACGGCUCACCAAGGCGACGAUGCAUAGCCGACCUGAGAGGGUGAUCGGCCACAUUGGGACUGAGACACGGCCCAAACUCCUACGGGAGGCAGCAGUAGGGAAUCUUCGGCAAUGGACGAAAGUCUGACCGAGCAACGCCGCGUGAGUGAAGAAGGUUUUCGGAUCGUAAAACUCUGUUGUUAGAGAAGAACAAGGAUGAGAGUAACUGUUCAUCCCUUGACGGUAUCUAACCAGAAAGCCACGGCUAACUACGUGCCAGCAGCCGCGGUAAUACGUAGGUGGCAAGCGUUGUCCGGAUUUAUUGGGCGUAAAGCGAGCGCAGGCGGUUUCUUAAGUCUGAUGUGAAAGCCCCCGGCUCAACCGGGGAGGGUCACUCAAAGGAAUUGACGGGGGCCCGCACAAGCGGUGGAGCAUGUGGUUUAAUUCGAAGCAACGCGAAGAACCUUACCAGGUCUUGACAUCCUUUGACCACUCUAGAGAUAGAGCUUCCCCUUCGGGGGCAAAGUGACAGGUGGUGCAUGGUUGUCGUCAGCUCGUGUCGUGAGAUGUUGGGUUAAGUCCCGCAACGAGCGCAACCCUUAUUGUUAGUUGCCAUCAUUUAGUUGGGCACUCUAGCAAGACUGCCGGUGACAAACCGGAGGAAGGUGGGGAUGACGUCAAAUCAUCAUGCCCCUUAUGACCUGGGCUACACACGUGCUACAAUGGGAAGUACAACGAGUCGCAAAGUCGCGAGGCUAAGCUAAUCUCUUAAAGCUUCUCUCAGUUCGGAUUGUAGGCUGCAACUCGCCUACAUGAAGCCGGAAUCGCUAGUAAUCGCGGAUCAGCACGCCGCGGUGAAUACGUUCCCGGGCCUUGUACACACCGCCCGUCACACCACGAGAGUUUGUAUACACCCGAAGUCGGUGAGGUAACCUUUUGGAGCCAGCCGCUUAAGU